UACGAAGGGGGCUAGCGUUGUUCGGAUUUACUGGGCGUAAAGCGCACGUAGGCGGUUUGUUAAGUCAGGGGUGAAAUCCCAGAGCUCAACUCUGGAACUGCCUCUGAUACUGGCAAGCUAGAGUCCGGAAGAGGUAAGUGGAACUCCUAGUGUAGAGGUGGAAUUCGUAGAUAUUAGGAAGAACACCAGUGGCGAAGGCGGCUUACUGGUCCGGAACUGACGCUGAGGUGCGAAAGCGUGGGGAGCAAACAGG
rnacentral:rRNA from 2 species